UUCUCAUUCACUACAACAUUUAUCAGAUUGAAUAUCCAAAAAGAAAACAUGCUGAGCAAAGCCUUCAACAGUUUUCAUUCUUUCUAUGUGACCCCAUCUGCACACAAGCUGACUUCAACCACAUCUGUGUCAGCGGGCCCAAAACCUUAGACACUGUCCACUCAGACGCCAUGGGAGAGGUGGGCACUGGUCCCCAUGUCACCUCCAAGAAGAGAGACAGAGCUCAAGGUAUAAGCCGCUAACAGGUGCUGUUUUACCGUGCUCACUAAAAUGACAUCAGUCAUCUUCAAGUCUCCCAAGAAAUGCAAAGUGCUGCCCUUGGGGGCACAUGGAGCCACCAAGACCCUCGGCGCCUCUCAUCCACCAAGGGAACCCAACGCCGCCUCUUCCGGCAGAACCUGGCUCAAGCGUGGAGCCUGCAGGAGAACACUCACCAGACCCAGAACUGACCGUGAGGUGCCUUCUCACAGGGAACCCGCCGGGGGAACUUUGCCAGAGUGACCCAUCAGCAAGAGCUCCCGUGCAGAUGUGGAACCCCUUUAGGCUAA
rnacentral:lncRNA from 1 species